rnacentral:rRNA from 1 species
CAGUCGCCGCGGUAAUACGAAGGGGGCUAGCGUUGUUCGGAUUUACUGGGCGUAAAGCGCACGUAGGCGGAUCCUUAAGUCAGAGGUGAAAUCCCAAGGCUCAACCUUGGAACUGCCUUUGAUACUGGGGAUCUCGAGUUCGGGAGAGGUGAGUGGAACUGCGAGUGUAGAGGUGAAAUUCGUAGAUAUUCGCAAGAACACCAGUGGCGAAGGCGGCUCACUGGCCCGAUACUGACGCUGAGGUGCGAAAGCGUGGGGAGCAAACAGGAUUAGAUACCCCUGUGUCCCUGUCUCUUAUACA